GCUUGGCUGGCUUAGUUAGUAGAGCAUGUGACUCCUAAUCUCAGGGUCAUGAGUUCAAGCCCCAUGCUGAGUA